GGAAGUCGUUCAUUGCUCUGUGUGCAUCAUUUGAACAAAUAAGCAAGUUUGAUGAUUAUUUUGUGAAUUAAGAAUGUUUAAUCUUGAAGAUUUCAUUUAUAUCCGUGUUCCAAUCCCCGCACGGCGCAGAGGUGGAAAACUGUCACUACUUGGGGCUUCCUUGAGUCGGGCGGAGCUACCAGGCGGGCUCAGAUGUUCCCUAUCAGCCACCUCUUCUAAAUUCCAUCAGCUGCGCCAGGAGGGUGCUGGAUUAUUUUCCUCCAUGGACGCCAUUCCAUGUCCUCCUUGUCUUCCUAGACAUUUUGUGGACAUAUGCUAUCUUUAUUCUACUCAUAUUUACCUGCCAAACUCACCCUCCUGCGAGUCCUGUAGCCCGCCUGACUCUCAGACUGUUUUGUGUUCAUUUUUGUGCCCUUUGUGCAUUUAGUCGUGGUGCUCCUUUUUUAUGCACCGUCGCCUUUAGUUCCUGUUCUUCUUGCAUUCUGAGACUCAUUAAAAGAGAUUAAUCACACCUGAGCUUGCCUUGUGCUGCAUCCUGGGAUCCGUCUUCGUUGCCACGAACCAAAGCAUGACAGAAUAAUCCAGCCAGUACCAUGGAUCCCACGGAACAAGAGCAGCUCCAGUUUGCCCUCAAAGCCCAGGGGCAGAUGAUUAGUCGCCACGAGCAAACGCUAGAGGACCUCUCCACGCAGGUGCGUGAAAUGCACGCUUCGUAUGACGGGUUCCUCCAUGGCCACAUCCGUGGAGGUCCCCCUGCCGCCAGGAAAUACCACUCCCUCAGUGAGGUAUUUUGUAAAGACAGCGGCAUCUUACUACCCCCCCACCGCCCAUACAACUGCGCCAUUGACCUGUUGCCCGGUGCACCGCUCCCCUCCUCACGGCUGUAUUACAUUUCCCAACCGGAACAGAAAGCCUUGGAGGAGUCCAUCUCCACCUCUCUCGCUACGGGGCACAUUCAGCCAUCUUCUUCCCCCCUGGCGGCAGGGUGUUUUUUUCAUCCAAAAGAAAGACGGAUCCUUGUGCCCGUGUAAAGAUUUUCAGUCACUCAAUACGAUCACAGUAAAAAAUGAACACCCCCUUCCUCUCCUUGAUUCUGCUUUUACACGGCUUCACACUGCAACCAUUUUCACGAAGUUGGAUUUGCGCAAUGCUUGCCACCUUAUUCGUAUCCGUAAAGUGGACGAAUGGAAGACCGCCUUUACUGUAACACGCCGUUGGGGCAUUUUGAGUACUGCGGCAUGCCUUUUGGUCUCACGAACGCCCCCGCGGUCUUCCAGUGCCUUAUCAACUAUGUCCUUUGUGGCAUGAUUGCUCGUUUUGUUUUCGUUUAUCUUGACGGCAUCCUUAUCUUUUCUUCAUCCACCAAACAACACCUGCAGCACGUCCAUCUUGUCCUCCAGAGACUAUUGGAGAACCGGUUGUUUGUGAAGCCUCAGAAGUGCACCUUUCAUUCACCUACGGUGUCCUUCCUGGGGUUUAUUGUGGAGAAGGGGUAACUUAGACCCGACCCUGCCAAGAUCCAGGCGGUGGUCGAUUGGGCCACUCCUACAUCUAGGAAGCUGUUGCAGAGGUUCCUGGGUUUCGCCAAGUUCUACUGCCGCUUUAUUUGGGACUUUAGUAAGGUUGCAGACCCUCUGAACAAGCUUACAUCUACUAAGGUUCCAUUUGCUUGGUCGCGGGGGCCGAUUCAGCCUUCCGGUGUCUCAAGUCCUUUUUCCACUUCUGUACCCGUAAUCAUCCAUCCUAAUCCCUCUCUCCCAUUUUUUUGUCGAGGUUGAUGCAUCUGACACUGGGUCGGGGCCAUUCUCUCUCAGCGUUCCAGGUCCAACCAGAGGCUGCACCCCUGCGCCUUUUUCUUCAGGCGUCCCUUGCACGCUGAACGCAAUUAUGAUGUUGGCAACGGGGAGCUGUUGGCGGUGGUCCUUUGCCCUGCAGGAGUGGAGGCACUGGUUGGAGGGAGCGACGCACCCGUUUGUCAUCUACACGGACCACAGAAACCUUACAUACAUCUGUUACGCUCAACGCCUCAACCCUUGCCAAGCCCAGUGGGCUCAGUUUUUCACUUGGUUUGACUUCACUCUCACCUAUUGACCAGGUCCACUCAAUAGCAAACCAGACACGCUCUCCCGGAUGUAUGCACUACAAGAUGAGGACCCUUCCCAGGAUACCAUCCUUCCCCAGUCCUGCAUAGUAGGAGGGGGAGAAGCGAGUGACCGACGCCAGUAAGGACACCCUACUCCCUGCUGGUUGCCACUCGGACCGACUAUUCGUUCCUCGGGCCCUGCGUCCGGAAGUCCUGACCUGGGCUCAUUGUUACAGGAUUGCCUGCCAUCCCGGAGCCAGGCGCACUGCCUUCCUGCUAUCUCAGCGCUUCUGGUGGCCCUCCUCCCACGCCGACACAAAGAGUUUUGUGGCUGUCUGCGGCAUCUGUGUCAGGAACAAAACCUCCAAACAGCCGCCGGCGGGGUUGCUUCAGCCACUCCCCAUCCCCUCCUGCCCCUGGUCGCACAUUGCAUUAGACUUUGUGACUGGUCUUCCCGCCUCUGGGGGGUUCACUACAGUCCUCACUAUAGUAGACAGGUUCUCCAAGUAUACUCACUUUGUCCCCCUCCGCAGACUUUCUUUGUCCUUGGAGACGGCCAAGCUUCUGGUGUAGCACAUGGUUCGGAUCCGUGGCAUUCCUGUUGAUGUGGUGUCGGACAGAGGCCCCCAGUUUGCCUCUGCUACCUGGAAGGCCUUUUGCAAGUCCUUGGGGUCUUCUGUCAGUCUUUCCUCCAGAUACCGUCCUCAGUCCAACAACCAGAUAAAGCGGGCCAACCAGGACCUGGAGUCAGCCUUAAGACUUGGGACUUCCUUGAGUCGGGCGGAGCUACCAGGCGGGCGCAGCUGUUCCCUAUCAGCCACCUCUUCUUAAUUCCGCCAGGAAGGACUGAUGUCUUCCGUUUGGAGCUAUUGACUUCUUUGGCUACCGAAGUUUGACCCUUAGUUCCACCUUCAGCAUCACCUUGAGCACCGUAACAAUCACCAUCAUCAACGUAGCUGCUCACAAAAAAAGGACUGCGGUGUUGUCGUCUGCGCUAUACCGCCAUUUUGACCAUUCUAGUCAUGUGGACUUUGGGAAAGGGAACUGUGGAGAAUAUUACUGAUAAGAUGGAAGUGGACCAAAGAAGCGGGGAAUAUUCAUGUUAAGCAAUGUAUGGGGCAAAUGUGUCUAUAGAGA